GGGCACACGGCUGCCUUGCUUCUUCUUUCUACUUUUUGUAGACAAAGUACGGAUUAGUAACCUUGCAUGCCUGAAAUUGCCAAAUUUAAUCCACAGAGCCCUAAAUCCAUACACAUUACACAGUGAGAAAGCAUUACAAAAUCUUUCUUCUUGAAAUGAGAAUAGUGAUGUUUUCAUACCAGAUGAUUUAUAGCUAGUAAUUAAAGGGAUCAUUAGCAAAGACAUGUACAAAAAUUCUUAAGUCUCCCAUGAUCAGGCUGGCUUCUGAACAAGUUGAAUUGCCACUUGUAUCACCAUGUUUAGUGCACGUUGUUAUUUCAGGUAUAUGCAAGCUUUUCUUUCAACAUGCAAAAACAUCAGCUGAUCAGUUCUGCUGUCUCCCCACAUUGCUUGAGAAUGAGGCCAUCCAUACAGCUGUAUAGAGGACUUUCUCAGUUACAACUUUGGGACACUGGGAUAUCACUUACCCCAGACUUUGUUACUGGAAUGUUCUGCUCAGAGAGCACAAAGGAAGAAACAAAACAAAACUACACAAAAGCUGAUUUCAGUACUUAAUACAGAUUCAAAAAUAUGCCAUCAGUGAACAAAGCAUAGCUCCCCAUUUUGUCCCUCAGGAUUGAAUAUAUUUCGGCAACUAUCAGACUUUGCAUAUUGAGGCGAAGGAGAAAGAAGAAAAGAACUGAUGUUACAUUAUUAAUGUCACUUCAUUCCUAUUACUGUUGUUCUACUCUUUAGUCUGAAAAAAUAGUUCAGACAAGUUCAGAGCAAACCUUUGAAAAAUCAGUCUCAGCUGUGUGUCACCCUUUGGGAGAAAAAAUGGAUUUCUUUCCCGUGUGAGUUUCUUAGCUGUCAUAUUAUAUCUUCAUUUAGAAGCAUUAAAAGAUCAUUUGAAUGAUCUCUGGUCUGAUGUAUGUUUGAAGUGACCACAGAGAACAUAUAUUUUCCUGAUGAAAAUAACCUGGAAAUGAAGGUAGAGUACCUUCUAGUGAACAUUUGACAGUAAAAAAUAAAUUAAAAAAAUAAUAAUAACA
rnacentral:lncRNA from 1 species